CUAAACUCAGAGGCCUGAAUGGGCUCCAUGAAUGUCCUCCAAUGGACCUGCUCUACAAAUGGGUGAUGGCCAUUCCCAGAACACAGAGCUGGCCUGGCCAGCCUGUGCCCCAACCCAGAGUGCCGCCAACCAGCCAUACCACACAUUUCCUGCUGUCUAUUUUUGGAAAUGAUUUUCUGACUUUUUUUUUUCUCCCAGGCUCCAUCAUCAUCACCACCACCACCAUCAUCAUCAUCAUCAAGAGCUGAAUGUUACCCUGAGCAACUUUCAGGGCGGGUCUGCAAGACUGGGGCAUCACACAGAAUACUAAAAAGUGACCCGGCCAGGGGCCAAGCAACGGCUGGAUCAUAGCCUCCAGGAAGCCCCGGGGCCCUGCAUGAGAGCAGUGAGGAUGGACAGCACAGCAAACACAACAGCCGGGAGUCCCUUGGGCAUGCUAGGGUCACACCAGAGACCUGGAGCUGGGGUGACUCACCCUGCUCUGGGUCCCAGCCUUCCGGCCUAUGGUCUUGCCAGAGGCCCAGUGGCCUGACUGGCAGCCUGGUUCUGGUCUCUUCUGGAACAGAUGAAGCCACUGCCACAAAGCCUCAGCAUCCAGGUAUCCAUGGGGACCCAGAACUCAAUAGUGGCCCCAAGGAUGACUAGACGUAAUGCCAAGAUGCCAAAGCUACAAGGAAUGAGUCUCUCUAACCAUAAGACCAGGCUCUGGCUUCCCUUCCCUUGCCCAGCCCAGGGUCCUCCAGGAAUCAGAGCAGUUACAGAGUCAACUUUAGGGAGCACAGGCUUGGGUUUAACUCUUUAACCCGUGGGAUUCUUACAAGUCCCAGAAUUGCCAGGUUAUAUCAGAUCUUUGGAGCCCACUGUCCAGAACUCCUCUGAGAUCUCACUCUGCUCAGGAAUGGAGACAACUCUGAUUACCUGCUGCUGUCUGGGCCCUGUGGUCCUUAUUGCCCCAGGCACUUGAUUAUCUGUGUGCAUGCAGAG
rnacentral:lncRNA from 1 species